rnacentral:rRNA from 1 species
UGGGGAAUAUUGGACAAUGGGCGCAAGCCUGAUCCAGCCAUGCCGCGUGAGUGAUGAAGGCCCUAGGGUUGUAAAGCUCUUUCACCGGUGAAGAUAAUGACGGUAACCGGAGAAGAAGCCCCGGCUAACUUCGUGCCAGCAGCCGCGGUAAUACGAAGGGGGCUAGCGUUGUUCGGAUUUACUGGGCGUAAAGCGCACGUAGGCGGACUUUUAAGUCAGGGGUGAAAUCCCGGGGCUCAACCCCGGAACUGCCUUUGAUACUGGAAGUCUUGAGUAUGGUAGAGGUGAGUGGAAUUCCGAGUGUAGAGGUGAAAUUCGUGGAUAUUCGGAGGAACACCAGUGGCGAAGGCGGCUCACUGGACCAUUACUGACGCUGAGGUGCGAAAGCGUGGGGAGCAAACAGG